rnacentral:rRNA from 1 species
GACGAACGCUGGCGGCGUGCCUAAUACAUGCAAGUAGAACGCACAGUUUAUACCGUAGCUUGCUACACCAUAGACUGUGAGUUGCGAACGGGUGAGUAACGCGUAGGUAACCUGCCUGGUAGCGGGGGAUAACUAUUGGAAACGAUAGCUAAUACCGCAUAAUAUUGAUUAUUGCAUGAUAAUUAAUUGAAAGGUGCAAUUGCACCACUACCAGAUGGACCUGCGUUGUAUUAGCUAGUAGGUGAGGUAACGGCUCACCUAGGCGACGAUACAUAGCCGACCUGAGAGGGUGAUCGGCCACACUGGGACUGAGACACGGCCCAGACUCCUACGGGAGGCAGCAGUAGGGAAUCUUCGGCAAUGGACGAAAGUCCGACCGAGCAACGCCGCGUGAGUGAAGAAGGGUUUCGGAUCGUAAAGCUCUGUUGUAAGAGAAGAACGGGUGUGAGAGUGGAAAGUUCACACUGUGACGGUAUCUUACCAGAAAGGGACGGCUAACUACGUG